rnacentral:tRNA from 1 species
GCCUGCAGCUCAAUUGGUUUGCGCCGUCGGUUCAUAACCGUUCGGUUGCAGGCUCAAGUCCUGCUGGGCACA